GACGUGCUUGCACUGAUUUCAACAAUGAAGCGGGUGGCGAACUGGUGAGUAACACGUGGGGAAUCUGCCCAGAAGCAGGGGAUAACACUUGGAAACAGGUGCUAAUACCGUAUAACAACAAAAUCCGCAUGGRUUUUGUUUGAGAGGUGGCUUCGGCUAUCACUUCUGGAUGAUCCCGCGGCGUAUUAGUUAGUUGGUGAGGUAAAGGCCCACCAAGACGAUGAUACGUAGCCGACCUGAGAGGGUAAUCGGCCACAUUGGGACUGAGACACGGCCCAAACUCCUACGGGAGGCAGCAGUAGGGAAUCUUCCACAAUGGACGAAAGUCUGAUGGAGCAAUGCCGCGUGAGUGAAGAAGGGUUUCGGCUCGUAAAACUCUGUUGUUAAAGAAGAACACCUUUGAGAGUAACUGUUCAAGGGUUGACGGUAUUUAACCAGAAAGCCACGGCUAACUACGUGCCAGCAGCCGCGGA
rnacentral:rRNA from 1 species